rnacentral:rRNA from 1 species
UACGGGGGGGGCAAGCGUUGUUCGGAAUUACUGGGCGUAAAGGGCUCGUAGGCGGCCAACUAAGUCGGAUGUGAAAUCCCCAGGCUUAACCUGGGAACUGCAUCCGAUACUGGAUGGCUUGAAUUCGGGAGAGGGAUGCAGAAUUCCAGGUGUAGCGGUGAAAUGCGUAGAUAUCUGGAGGAAUACCGGUGGCGAAGGCGGCAUCCUGGACCAUAACUGACGCUGAGGCGCGAAAGCUAGGGGAGCAAACGGG